rnacentral:rRNA from 1 species
UAGUCCACGCCGUAAACGAUGGGCACUAGAUGUGGGGAGUAUCGACUCUCUCCGUGUCGCAGCUAACGCAUUAAGUGCCCCGCCUGGGGAGUACGGCCGCAAGGCUGAAACUCAAAGGAAUUGACGGGGGCCCGCACAAGCGGUGGAGCAUGUGGUUUAAUUCGAUGCAACGCGAAGAACCUUACCGGGGUUUGACAUGUACAGGACAGGUGUAGAAACACACCCUCCCUUCGGGGCCUGUAUGCAGGUGCUGCAUGGCUGUCGUCAGCUCGUGUCGUGAGAUGUUGGGUUAAGUCCCGCAACGAGCGCAACCCUCGUCCUUAGUUGCCAGCGAGUAAAGUCGGGCACUCUAAGGAGACUGCCGGUGAUAAGCCAGAGGAAGGUGGGGAUGAUGUCAAGUCCUCAUGGCCCUUACGCCCCGGGGCUACACACGUGCUACAAUGGGCUGGUACAGCGGGUUGCAAGACCGCGAGGGUGGGAGCCAAUCCCUUAAAA